AUGACAAAAGUAAUUACUUGUGUAUCUAGUCGCAAUUACAUUUUACAUAACUUGAUGAAUAUAAAUUUGGUGUACCUACUGUUAGUGCAAGUAUGGGUGAAAAACCUAUAUUAUAAAAAUCGACGAGCCGCAAUGGAGGAUCCACCACACCAUCAAGGCAACUUGAACCUUAAGGGGUUCAAUGAGCAUUGGGUGUCUCACAAUAAGGCUCCGGAGCCCAACCUUUUUGUGGCCUAUGCUUUGGCCCAUAAGGGAUCGUUCCGAUCUGCCACGCCUUAUGAUGAGAAUGACACAUUACCUGCCUACACCAGCAAGACCGCCUACGAUCGAAUGGACAAAUUUAAAAGGAAGGCAAAAGAGAUGAGAGGGCCUGAGUAUGAUGUGACAUCAGAGCCCCUUGACCACGAGGUGGUUAUGAUCUCUGGAGGUGGUAGGAAACAUGGCAAGGAAGCGAUUGGAGGUGGCAUGUUUCCUAGGUCCUCCCGUCGCACUCUCCCUGAGUACAAAGCUCGGUCAGGUAUCUCAACAUCUUCUAUAUGUCAACGCUCGACUCUAGCAAUGGUUGCGAUGGAGUCUCGACUGGAGGAGCAGAGGCGACUGCUAGAUGAGAAGUUGGAGGAGAGGUUGGCGGAGGAGAGGCGACUGUUGGAUGAGAAGAGGGCGGAGGAGAGGCGACUAGCGGAUGAGAGGAUGCAACAGUACUUUGCAAUGUUUGCGGCUUAUUGUACCCAGAAUGGUAUGCCCGCUAUGAAAAUGCCUGACAUUGCUUCGCCCCCUAUGCAUCAAUCAGGCUAUGGGUCAAAUAAUGAUGGAUCUUCACAUGCACCAGGCCCAAACGCCAAUGACCAUGGUGGUUCUCCGAACUUUUGA
rnacentral:rRNA from 1 species